GACGAACGCUGGCGGCGUGCCUAAUACAUGCAAGUAGAACGCUGAAGGAGGAGCUUGCUUCUCUGGAUGAGUUGCGAACGGGUGAGUAACGCGUAGGUAACCUGCCUGGUAGCGGGGGAUAACUAUUGGAAACGAUAGCUAAUACCGCAUAAUAGCAGUUGUUGCAUGACAACUGUUUGAAAGGUGCAAUUGCACCACUACCAGAUGGACCUGCGUUGUAUUAGCUAGUUGGUGGGGUAACGGCUCACCAAGGCGACGAUACAUAGCCGACCUGAGAGGGGGAUCGGCCACACUGGGACUGAGACACGGCCCAGACUCCUACGGGAGGCAGCAGUAGGGAAUCUUCGGCAAUGGACGGAAAUCUGACCGAGGAACGCCGCGGGAGUGAAGAAGGGUUUCGGAUCGUAAAGCUCGGUUGUAAGAGAAGAACGAGUGUGAGAGUGGAAAGUUCACACUGUGACGGUAUCUUACCAGAAAGGGACGGCUAACUACGUG
rnacentral:rRNA from 1 species